CAGUAGCCGCGGGAAUACGAAGGGGGCUAGCGUUGUUCGGAAUUACUGGGCGUAAAGCGCACGUAGGCGGAUUGUUAAGUUAGGGGUGAAAUCCCAGGGCUCAACCCUGGAACUGCCUUUAAUACUGGCAAUCUCGAGUCCGAGAGAGGUGAGUGGAAUUCCGAGUGUAGAGGUGAAAUUCGUAGAUAUUCGGAGGAACACCAGUGGCGAAGGCGGCUCACUGGCUCGGUACUGACGCUGAGGUGCGAAAGCGUGGGGAGCAAACAGGAUUAGAUACCCCCGUAGUCCCUGUCUCUUAUAU
rnacentral:rRNA from 1 species